rnacentral:lncRNA from 1 species
AACACAAACGUUGAAUAUUAAAUUAGAAGGAAAAGGGAGAUAAUCGUAGCUACUUUAUCGUUAUGUAACCAUACAAUAACAACAGUCGGUUCAUUCGGCUGGUGGAUAGGAUGGCUCUCGGGAGGAGAGGUUACGUAUUUUUCAAAUAGUCAGCAAAAGAAGGAUCAAUGAAAGAAAGACAGAAUCCCACAAUUGAGAACGAUCUGUACCAACCAUACAAAUGGUACUUUUUGAUUGGACCUAUAUCUUCAGUCUUGGAAAUGAUUUUAGAAGCGAAUCAACAAAGCCAUUAACAUUUAAAGACCAUAUACCUCAUGAUAAAGUCGCCGCGAUAUAGCCUUGUUGUACUAAUCCGGCGUAAAGCAACCAACAAUCAACCUCAUGAUAAAGAAAAAGCUAAAUAAGAAAACAAAACAAUUCAAAUAAGGAUCCACAAGGAACACUAGUCCAGUUGGUGUUCAUGUACGCAGAGGAGAUAUGAUGAAUCAUAAAUUUGGAUAUAUAUAGCGACAAUAGAAUAUAAAAAUAAGGUCGUGUAUAUUCUAGAGCAAAGUGUUAUAACUAAGUUCAUCAGCUCAAGAUAUUGCAUGCACUAAAAGCUAAAUUGUGUCUAACAAAAGCACACUUUGACAUAUAUAAAGUCAGAAAAAGGGAGAUAAUUGUAGAUUCUUUAUGAUUAUGUCAUUAUGCAACUGUUGGUUGACCAAGCUGGGAAAAGGAUUGAUCACUGGGUUGAAGUCAAGAAAUUCACAAGACCCACAUAAAAGGGUCUUAUCCAAAAGGACAAAACCGCCAAGAUAUUUAACCGGGAAGGAUUAGAAUGAAGACGAUCUCGUACGGGUUUUAUGUGUCAAACACAUAUUAAUAUAUAUUUCCGAUAAGUAAAACAAAAAUACUUAACAGGGGGUAAAGCUGAAACUUGACAUUUUCCCCAUAUUAGAGGCUGAAAGUAUAUAUCAGAGAAUGAAUCACUGUAUUGAGUUUGAUUCAAUAGUUUGCUUCUAUAAAAAGUAAAAUUUUCAUGCAUUUUAAACACGAUUUUGGGUAUAAAAGAGUCUUUUCGUGUAUGAACGGGAAAGAGAGUGACUUUCGAUUGUAUUUAUGAUAACAUUUACAUUUUCUAUCUAAGUAAGCCUGGCAAUUUUUGUUUACAUAUUGACGAACAAUGUAUAGCAAAGCAGAAAAAAACAAAGUGUGAAGGCAUUAUUUAAUUGUGAUUUAAAAUUAUCCUGUUUAAUUGAUGAGGCA